CUUUUGUGGAGGGCAAGUCUGGUGCCAGCAGCCGCGGUAAUUCCAGCUCCAUAGCGUAUAUUAAAGUUGUUGCAGUUAAAAAGCUCGUAGUUGAAUUUCGGGAUCAGUAUGUUGGUCGUGCCUCGGUACGUACUGGCAUUACUGGUUUCUCCCUUCUGAAGAACCUUGAUGUCAUUAAUUUGGUGUCUUGGGGAAUCAGGACUGUUACUUUGAAAAAAUUAAAGUGUUUAAAGCAAGCAAAA
rnacentral:rRNA from 1 species